rnacentral:rRNA from 1 species
AGCACGGGGAGCUUGCUCCCUGGUGGCGAGCGGCGGACGGGUGAGUAAUGCAUAGGAAUCUGCCCGGUAGUGGGGGAUAACCUGGGGAAACCCAGGCUAAUACCGCAUACGUCCUACGGGAGAAAGCAGGGGCUCUUUGGACCUUGCGCUAUCGGAUGAGCCUAUGUCGGAUUAGCUGGUUGGUGAGGUAAUGGCUCACCAAGGCGACGAUCCGUAGCUGGUCUGAGAGGAUGAUCAGCCACAUCGGGACUGAGACACGGCCCGAACUCCUACGGGAGGCAGCAGUGGGGAAUAUUGGACAAUGGGCGCAAGCCUGAUCCAGCCAUGCCGCGUGUGUGAAGAAGGCCCUCGGGUUGUAAAGCACUUUCAGUGGGGAAGAAAGCCUGGCGGUUAAUACCCGCCAGGAAGGACAUCACCCACAGAAGAAGCACCGGCUAACUCCGUGCCAGCAGCCGCGGUAAUACGGAGGGUGCGAGCGUUAAUCGGAAUUACUGGGCGUAAAGCGCGCGUAGGCGGCUUGAUAAGCCGGUUGUGAAAGCCCCGGGCUCAACCUGGGAAUGGCAUCCGGAACUGUCAGGCUAGAGUGCAGGAGAGGAAGGUAGAAU